AUACGGAGGGUGCGAGCGUUACUCGGAGUCACUGGGCGUAAAGCGUCCGUAGGCGGUCGGGUAAGUCGGGUGUGAAAGCCCCGGGCUCAACCUGGGAAGUGCACCCGAUACUGCUCGACUCGAGUGCGGGAGAGGAUGGCGGAAUUCCCGGUGUAGCGGUGAAAUGCGUAGAGAUCGGGAGGAACACCAGUGGCGAAGGCGGCCAUCUGGCCCGCAACUGACGCUGAGGGACGAAAGCGUGGGGAGCAAACAGGAGUAGAUACCCCAGUAGUCC
rnacentral:rRNA from 1 species